rnacentral:rRNA from 1 species
GACGAACGCUGGCGGCGUGCUUAACACAUGCAAGUCGAACGAAGUGGCGAACGGGUGAGUAAUACGUGUGUAACCUGCCCUCCUUUUUGGGAUCAGCCUUGGGAACGGGGUCUAAUAACGAAUAAAGGGGGAUGGGCUCGGGGCUUAUCAGCUUGUUGGUGGGGUGAUGCCCUACCGAGGCGGUGACGGGUAGCCGGCCUGAGAGGGUAAACGGAAACAGUGGGACGGAGAUACGGCCCAGAGGAGUACGGGAUGGAGCAGUUGGGAAUAUGGCACAAUGGGUGAAAGCCUGAUGCAGCGAGGCCGAGGGGGGGAUGAAGGCUUUCGGGUUGUAAACCUCGUGCGGUAGGGAAGGGUUAGGUGGAGAAGAAGCGCCGGCUAACUACGUGCCAGCAGCCGCGGUAAUAC